rnacentral:rRNA from 1 species
CCCCCCCUCGAGGUCCGCUCCAUCUGGUUCAACCGGUACAGAUCGAGGGAAGUUAGUACCGAAGUCUGGGAUGGAGGAUGGCGAGAAAAGCUGUGUGUAUUUCUGAGGUGCCCGUACCGCAAACCGACACAGGUAGGUAGGAAGAAGAUUCUAAGGCCAACGGGAGAAGGGUUGUUAAGGAACUCGGCAAAUUGACCCCGUAACUUCGGGAGAAGGGGUGCUCCAGAGAUGGAGCCGCAGAGAAUCGGCCCAAGCAACUGUUUACCAAAAACACAGGUUUGUGCUAAAUCGAAAGAUGACGUAUACGAGCUGACGCCUGCCCGGUGCUGGAAGGUUAAGAGGAGAUGUGCAAGCAUUGAAUCGAAGCCCCAGUGAACGGCGGCCGUAACUAUAACGGUCCUAAGGUAGCGAAAUUCCUUGUCAGGUAAGUUCUGACCCGCAUGAAAGGCGUAAUGAUUUGGGCACUGUCUCAACAGCCCGCCCGGCGAAAUUGUAGUACCGGUGAAGAUGCCGGUUACCCGCGACAAGACGGAAAGACCCCAUGGAGCUUUACUGUAGCCUAAUAUUGGGUUUCGAUGUUGCAUGCACAGGAUAGAUGGGACACAGACGGUAUCGAUAAGCUUGAUUCAAGCUUAUCGAUACCGUCGGCCGUUGGGAUACCAUCCUUGCGAUAUUGGAAUUCUAACCUGCGGCUCUGAAUCGAGUCGGGGGACAUUGUUAGGUGGGCAGUUUGACUGGGGCGGUCGCCUCCUAAAAAGUAACGGAGGCGUUCAAAGGUUCGCUCAGCUUGAACGGAAAUCAAGCAAAAGAGUGCAAACGCAGAAGCGAGCCUAACUGCGAGACUGACGGGUCGAGCAGUAACGAAAGUUGGAGUUAGUGAUCCGGUGGUAUGUGAGUGGAAAUGCCAUCGCUCAACGGAUAAAAGUUACCCUGGGGAUAACAGGCUGAUCUCCCCCAAGAGUCCACAUCGACGGGGAGGUUUGGCACCUCGAUGUCGGCUCAUCGCAUCCUGGGGCUGUAGUAGGUCCCAAG